GGUUUCAUGGCUCAGUUGGUAGAACAUCGCACCGAUAUCGCGGAUGUCAAGGGUUCGAAAGCCGCUGUAGCCU